rnacentral:lncRNA from 1 species
UUUGAUAGAUUUGGAGCUGAAAGGAGUCAUUGUCUGUCUAUGAUGCUUUCCCUUCAUUCCAGAUUUCAGGACUUUAAGGCCAGCAGUUGGAGGGAUUUGCUGCUAGCCCAGUUAAAUUUAAAAGAAAGGUCCUGACACACUAAAAGAUGAGUAAGCAGGCACAUUUUGUUAAAGACAAUAUAG